rnacentral:lncRNA from 1 species
GGGUUGUCAUCAGAGCACGUGCAGCCGUUCUGGAGAAACGGCGGCGGCUGAGUUGUUAAUUCGAACGACGUUAAAACGCCGACGCAAGCCGUGAGAAUAUCGAAAACCACCGCCGACGUUCGUUCAGCAGAGUGGCCGCUUUACAUUUUCGCGCUGUGAUGACAACAUCAACAUUGCGGAUGUAGUACUUCCGAAUUCCUUUCAUACUAUAGAACGUUCAUUUUAACGGUCUGGAAGUAAGUUCAAAUUCAAAUGUAGCACUCAAGCAGUACGCGAUUUCGAACGCAGCGUUUGUGACUCGAGCGAACAGUUCGCGCGGCGCCGCAGUCAACAUGAACAACUUCGAACAAAUGUUGGCUGAACAGGUACGCUUGUACAGACAUCUUUAUGAUCCGUCCAUGCGUGCUCACAGAGACGGCCAGAUGGCAAAGAACUCUUGGCGAGAAAUUGCAGCCACCGUGGGAAAGGAAGAAAGUGUUUGCAAGAAAGUCUGGAAGAACUUAAGAGAUCAGUUUGAAAAGGCAAACAAGAGAGUUCAUGGUAAAAGUGGAGACCCAGCUGGAUUCAAACAUGCGUCACCCAUCCUCUCAGAGCUUGGCUGGUUAUCACAAUUUGUGAAACACCGGGAAACGGAUUCAACGAUGGAUUAUGAGGAGGAAGGUAGUGUGGCCUCCAAUCAUUGGCAGGAAAGCAGCAGUAGGCUACUGAAGGUUGACCUAUCUCCUCCGCUGCCAGCAGCUCCUACAUGUACAACCUCUCUCUGCUCAGAUACAUCUUUUCCUCAAAGCAUCUCCGUUUGUUCCCCUAAAUCGCUGCCAGGCUCUGCAUGUAAGAGAAAACGGAACACCAAGGAUGUUCUUUUGAAGAGAUUGGAGAGGUUGGACCAGGAAAGGGAAAUGGCAAGACAGCAGGACAACGAGGACUACAGAUGUGGUGUUGUUAUUGCAGACAUGUUGUCAAAGGUGACCCUGAAGAGAAGACGCGUGUGAAGUUCAGGCUCUUAAAAAUAAAGGUGCUUCAAAAGGUUCUUCAAGCGAUGCCAUAGAAGAACCAUUUUUGGUUCCACAAAGAACCAUUCAGUCAAAGGUUCUUUAAAGAACCAUCUCUUUCUUACCUUUUUGUAAUCUGAAGAACCUUCUUUCGCCACAAAGAACCUUUUGUGAAACAGAAAGGUUCUUCAGAUGUUAAAGGUUCUUUAUGGAACCAUUUAGACAAAAAGGUUCUUCUAUGGCAUCGUGAAGCACCUUUAUUUUUAAGAGUGUACCAAGUUCUUUUUGAGGAUCUGGACAAACAGCAAACAAAGAAUGCUUGCAGAGACACUUAAAACUGUUUCUUUAUGCAUCUAAAGACUUAUAAAAGCAUCUUCAGCAUCAAUAUUUGAUAUUGUUUGUACAGUUGCAACAAGUACCUCA